CAGUAGCCGCGGUAAUACGAAGGUCCCGAGCGUUGUUCGGAAUCACUGGGCGCAAAGGGAGCGUAGGCGGCGUGGUAAGUCAGAUGUGAAAUCCCGGGGCUCAACCCCGGGACUGCAUCCGAUACUGCCGUGCUAGAGGAUUGGAGAGGUAGCUGGAAUUCUUGGUGUAGCAGUGAAAUACGUGGAGAUCAAGAGGAACACUCGUGGCGAAAGCGAGCUACUGGACGAUAUCUGACGCUGAGGCUCGAAGGCCAGGGUAGCGAAAGGGAUUAGAUACCCCGGUAGUCCCUGUCUCUUAUAC
rnacentral:rRNA from 1 species